rnacentral:rRNA from 1 species
UUAACUAAGUUAAUUAAAAUUCAAAGUAGAUAUCUGAUAAUGACAGUAUUUGCUUAUGUCUUGACCAAAUCACGUGCCAGCAGUCGCGGUAAGACGUGGAAGAUAAGCGUUAUUCAUGUUUAACAGGUUUAAAGGGUACCUAGACGGUUAAUUAAACACUGUAAUGUAUUAAUUAACUAGAGUUUGAUAUAAGAAGGAUUGAGUACGAUGAGUGUAGCGAUAAAAUUUUAUUAGACCAUUAUGAAAC